ACGCGAAGAACCUUACCAAGGCUUGACAUGUACGAGAACGCGCUGGAGACAGCGAACUCUUUGGACACUCGUAUACAGGUGGUGCAUGGUUGUCGUCAGCUCGUGUCGUGAGAUGUUGGGUUAAGUCCCGCAACGAGCGCAACCCUCGUCCUAUGUUGCCAGCACGUCAUGGUGGGAACUCAUGGGAUACUGCCGGGGUCAACUCGGAGGAAGGUGGGGAUGAGGUCAAAUCAUCAUGCCCCUUAUGUCUUGGGCUUCACGCAUGCUACAAUGGCCGGUACAAUGGGCUGCGAUACCGCAAGGUGGAGCGAAUCCCAAAAAGCCGGUCUCAGUUCGGAUUGAGGUCUGCAACUCGACCUCAUGAAGUCGGAGUCGCUAGUAAUCGCAGAUCAGCAACGCUGCGGUGAAUACGUUCCCGGGCCUUGUACACACCGAAGGGC
rnacentral:rRNA from 1 species